rnacentral:rRNA from 1 species
UGAGUACGAGAUGCUACGGCAUCGAAGCAGUCUAUGUCAUACUUCCAAGAAAAGCUUGCACUGUCAUAAACAAAGAAUGCCUGUACCAUAACCGACACAGGUGGGUAGGUAGAGUAUACUAAGGGGCGCGAGAUAACUCUCUCUAAGGAACUCGGCAAAAUGACUCCGUAACUUCGGGAGAAGGAGUGCCUUAUUUCUAAGGUUGCAAUAACAAGAUCCAAGCAACUGUUUACCAAAAACACAGGUCUCCGCUAAGUCGUAAGACGAUGUAUGGGGGCUGACGCCUGCCCAGUGCCAGAAGGUUAAAGAAGUUGGUUAGCAUUAGCGAAGCUGAUAACUGAAGCCCUGGUGAACGGCGGCCGUAACUAUAACGGUCCUAAGGUAGCGAAAUUCCUUGUCGGGUAAGUUCCGACCCGCACGAAAGGCGUAAUGAUUUGGAUACUGUCUCGGAGAGGGGCUCGGUGAAAUAGACUUGUCUGUGAAGAUGCGGACUACCUGCACCUGGACAGAAAGACCCUAUGAAGCUUUACUGUAACUUGAGAUUGAAAUUGGACUUUAUUUGCGCAGUAUAGGUGGGAGGCGUUGAGAAUAAUCUUGCGGGAUUGUUGGAGCCAUCAGUGAGAUACCACUCUUGUAAUGUUAGAUUUCUAACUUUGUAUCAUUAUCUGGUCAAAGAACAGUUUCAGGCGGGCAGUUUGACUGGGGCGGUCGCCUCCCAAAGGGUAACGGAGGCGCACAAAGGUUUCCUCUGAACGGGUAGAAAUCGUAUCUAGAGUGUAAAGGCAUAAGGAAGCUUGACUGUGAGACCUACAAGUCGAGCAGGGACGAAAGUCGGUCUUAGUGAUCUGACGGUGCUGAGUGGAAAGGCCGUCACUCAACGGAUAAAAGUUACUCUAGGAUAACAGGCUGAUCUCCCCCAAGAGUUCACAUCGACGGGGAGGUUUGGCACCUCGAUGUCGGCUCAUCGCAUCCUGGGGCGGUAGUCCGUCCCAAGGGUUGGGCUGUUCGCCCAUGAAAGCGGUACGCGAGCUGGGUUCAGAACGUCGUGAGACAGUUCGGUCCAUAUCCGGUGUAGGCGUUAGAAUAUUGAGAGGAGCCUUCUCUAGUACGAGAGGACCGAGAAGGACAUACCUCUGGUGUACCAGUUAUCGUGCCAACGGUAAACGCUGGGUAGCUAUGUAUGGAGUGGAUAACCGCUGAAAGCAUCUAAGUGGGAAGCCCACCUCAAGAUAAGUAUUCCC